rnacentral:tRNA from 1 species
GGAUGUAGCUCAGUUGGUUAGAGCAUCGGAUUGUGGUUCCGAGUGUCGUGGGUUCGAAUCCCAUCUUC